rnacentral:rRNA from 1 species
AACGAACGCUGGCGGCAUGCCUAACACAUGCAAGUCGAACGAGACCUUCGGGUCUAGUGGCGCACGGGUGCGUAACGCGUGGGAACCUGCCCUUAGGUUCGGAAUAACUCCCCGAAAGGGGUGCUAAUACCGGAUAAUGUCUUCGGACCAAAGAUUUAUCGCCUUUGGAUGGGCCCGCGUUGGAUUAGCUAGUUGGUAGGGUAAAAGCCUACCAAGGCGACGAUCCAUAGCUGGUCUGAGAGGAUGAUCAGCCACACUGGGACUGAGACACGGCCCAGACUCCUACGGGAGGCAGCAGUGGGGAAUAUUGGACAACGGGCGAAAGCCUGAUCCAGCAAUGCCGCGUGAGUGAUGAAGGCCUUAGGGCUGUAAAGCUCUUUUACCCGGGAUGAUAAUGACAGUACCGGGAGAAUAAGCUCCGGCUAACUCCGUG